rnacentral:rRNA from 1 species
UACGUAGGGGGCAAGCGUUGUCCGGAUUUAUUGGGUUUAAAGGGUGCGUAGGCGGCUUUUUAAGUCAGGGGUGAAAGACGGUAGCUUAACUAUCGCAGUGCCCUUGAUACUGAAGAGCUUGAAUGUAGUUGAGGUAGGCGGAAUGUGACAAGUAGCGGUGAAAUGCAUAGAGAUCGGAAAGAACACCAACGGCGAAAGCACUCUGCUGGGCCGACACUGACACUGAGAGACGAAAGCUAGGGGAGCGAAUGGG